rnacentral:rRNA from 1 species
UAGGGAAUUUUCCACAAUGGGCGAAAGCCUGAUGGAGCAACGCCGCGUGCAGGAUGAAGGCUUUCGGGUCGUAAACUGCUUUUAUGUAUGAUGAUUAUGACAGUAGUACAUGAAUAAGGAUCGGCUAACUCCGUGCCAGCAGCCGCGGUCAUACGGAGGAUCCAAGCGUUAUCCGGAAUUACUGGGCGUAAAGAGUUGCGUAGGUGGCAGAGUAAGUAGAUAGUGAAAGCAUACGGCUCAACCGUAUAUACAUUAUUUAAACUGCUCAGCUAGAGGAUGAGAGAGGUAGAUGGAAUUUCCAGUGUAGGAGUGAAAUCCGUAGAUAUUGGAAGGAACACCGAUGGCGUAGGCAGUCUACUGGCUUAUUCCUGACACUAAGGCACGAAAGCGUGGGGAGCAAACGGGAUUAGAUACCCGUGUAGUCC